UACGGAGGGGGCUAGCGUUGUUCGGAUUUACUGGGCGUAAAGGGCGCGCAGGCGGUCUUGAAAGUCAGGCGUGAAAGCCCCGGGCUUAACCUGGGAAUUGCGCUUGAUACUCUGAGACUGGAGUACGGGAGAGGAGAGUGGAAUUCCCAGUGUAGAGGUGAAAUUCGUAGAUAUUGGGAAGAACACCAGUGGCGAAGGCGGCUCUCUGGACCGUAACUGACGCUGAGGCGCGAAAGCGUGGGGAGCAAACAGG
rnacentral:rRNA from 1 species